rnacentral:lncRNA from 1 species
AAAGACAGCCCGAGUGCUGGAGUCAUUUAUGAGCAUCUCUUCCAGGUCUCCUGUUUGCUAUAAAAAUUCAAAGAAGAAAAAUGCCCUUUCUGCUUUGACCUACCUCCUGCUCCAGGCCCCAAGAGAGAUGUCCUCAGCUUUACAGAAAAUCUAAGUAAGUUAUGUCAGGAUUGGUUCAAAUGCCAUCUUUACCCCCUUUCCUUUAGACUUUACAAUGAGUAUUCAAUCCCCUGAGCGUCUGAGGCAGUGAGUCUGCUUAGUGUGAAACUUGCUUUGGUCUGACUUUUAUUAAAGUUCCUUGUCUGGGA